CAAAUGGUUAAAAGUAUUUCAAAUUUGCAACUAAAUGUGAAAAUUGAAAACGAGUCAAUUAUUAUAAAUCCAAAACUCUUGGAGUGACAAUUGACCAGCAUUUAUCUUGGAGAACUAACACUGACAGAGGAUAUUUGCAAGAAAAUAAAUUCCGGAAUAUCGGCUCGUAGGCGUUCAAAAGAAUUUGCUGAUAAGCAAACAUUUCUUUCUGUAUAUAAUGCUAUUUUUUAUAAUGCUAUAUUGAUUACUGCUGUGAAGUAUGGGAUGUGAACAGAAAUUUGGAACAAAAUUCCAAAAAAAAUAAGAGAUUCAAGUACCAAAACGAAUUUCAAAAAGGAAAUGAAAAUACAUCUAUUAUUAUCUCAAGACAAGCUAUAAAACACAAUAUAUAUUUAUAUGUAUACAUAUAAUAUAUAUAUAUAACGGUAACAUAUUAUAUGAUAACAUAAUAUUAUAGAGUAGAUUACGGAAAUUAUUCUUUCCAGUAUAGAGUACAAUAUAUAUUUAUGUAAUUAUUAAUAAUUCUAUAUAGUAAUAGCUAGUAUGUACUCUAGAUCUUGAUAAACUGACGAAAAAUUACCUGAUAGAGAACUUAUUAAUU